UCUGCUAAUCCUCCCGCACCACCCGCUAACCCUAACCUUGCCUACCCACCCCGCCUUUUCCUUGGCCCUUAAGUUGCUUCGUUCCCCUGCUGGAAAUCCUUUCUCGUCUAGAUCCAAACUACGUUCCUUUCUACAUGCCGAUCUCGUCUAGAUCUAGAUCGAAACAAGUUUCCUUUCUCCAUGCCGAUCCGUGUGGUUUACUUCUCGUCGGAUGCUUUGUCGGAUCGACGAACGGUGAAUAUCUCUCCGUUGUUUGUCUGCUCGAAACACAUGGGCUUGUUUUGUGAUGUGCAGAUUCAGAUCUGAUUAAGAGUUGCGCGUGCGCCGGCUCGGAUCGAGACGAGGCUGCGUCGAUGUGUGCGCGGUGGCUGCUGGUCUGCAUGUUUGGGCGCGUCGGAUCUGAUGUUGAGCUGGGACGUCUCGGCGAGAUUGGGGUGAUCUGGCGGUUUCGGAGGCGUGGAAGGGACGCGGCGGUGUGGUCGGAUUGCUGGAUUUGCUUCAACUCUCCUGAUGAUAUCUCUUUGUAUUGAUAAUUAUUGGAUGGAAUUUCCAUAAUUAUUAGAUCCGAGAGAUGUUGCUCGGGGAAAUCCGUGCCUUGAAGGCGAGGUAAGCUAAACACAUGUAACCAGCGAGUUGCGUGUGGAGUCGGGAGGAGAAAAGAAAAAAAGAUGUGAAAAAAGAGAAGAUGUGAAAAAAAAAGAUGUGACAUCUUGAAGGCCUUUGCCAUGAUGGGUGCGCUCGCAUGGCAGGCCACCGUAAUAAAGAUGUUGAUUUUGUGCCUCGGGUGGGAGAUCGCACGGGGGGUUAUUUUUUUUAUCCCCCGGGUUCUCCCUCCCCUUGUGUCCCUGUGCCCGCUUCUUCUUGUUGGCUACACGUCUCCCUGGUACACCUCGGGCAUUCUACAAUUUGGCAAGGAGCUACAGCGCCGCACGCAAGGUACAAUUGGCAAUCUGAAGUUGCAAUUCAUAUUACAUACUAAUCCAUACUUAUGCUGUUGCAAUUUAUAAUGCAAACUAGAUAAAUUUCUUAACGUCUAUAACUAAGCGAAGUUUAGUGGUGCAAUCAUCAAUCCUUGUUGCUUGUAGUACGUGCUUUCAGUAACUCAUUAACUUCACGGUUAAAGCAGUCAUCCAUGCCAUGCUUCUUAAUUUUAGGACGUGCCAAGUCAUAGUGCACCCAUCUGUUCUUCCAUCCGAGCAACACCACUGACACACGAACGACGCGUACUGUUCGAUUUUUAAGUCGAUCUGCGUACCAAAUUGAAAAAAUGAAUUAAUUAACUCUAUCGAGAGAAACCUGGCGAUGAUAACUGCUGGUUUCUGAAUUACACCUUCACACCUCAAUACUAUCAGCUGUGAAUCUACUGAGUUCAAUUAUGUGGCAAAUGUGUCACGUUCUGAAUUACACCUUCACACCUCACCUUCACACCUUAAUACUAUCAGCUAUGAAUCUUCUGAGUUAAAUUGUGUAUGUGGCAAAUGUGUCGUGGCUGCUACGCUGAUUCUUUUAAGUGUUACUUUCAUGCUUCAAUUAGCACCUCACCUAGGAUUUCUGUCAAGAAACAUGAAAUUCUAUAUAUAUUGGGCACUGUAAGUUCUCUGUUAUAUUUUGUUCUGAGUGUUAAUUUUGAAUUAUAUCAAUAUCUAGAAUGAUCAAGUGUUGCAAGUUUAUGUGAUAUUUAGUUCUAUAGUGGUUAUGCAAGAUGCAGCUAUUCAACUAGUUUAUUGUAAUCAGUUUGUGUAAGUGCAAUUUGUCUUCCCUUGUAAGUUGUAUAAGGACAUGUACGAGGAUGUAUGGCGAGAUGGCGUGCUGGUUUAUGAAGCUUCCAGCUGUUCUCUUCCCUGGAAGAUACUGCUGAGGCUUCGUGCCUCCUGGGCGGAACUGCCUCCUGGGAGUUCCGCAGCUGCUCAUGCUCCUGGGAGUUCUGAAGUUCUUGCUGGUGCUUUCAGCGGUUAUGUUGCUGAAGCUUCCUAAAUGUCUUCGGUUGGAGUUCUGGAGUUAUGAUGUCUUCUGCUGAAGUCGAAGCUUUGCUGAAGCCUCCUAAAUAUCUGAAAUUUUCUGUGGGUUUAUUGGUCGAGCUCCCCCGUGGUCUAGAAAAGUAUUUCACCAAGUAUUUCACCACUUGAGCGGACCGUCUGGCUGCUUGGCGGGUUUCACAAUAUAUGGUGACUGAUGCUGCUUAAUUUUUGUACACAUGUUUUGUCGUUGCAAUUGUUCUUGUCGUAUUUUUUGAGGUUGAGCUGUAAGAGUAGUUCACCUGGAGAGUACAUUAUCUACAGUUCUGCUGGCAUUUUUUUGGAGGAGACAACGUGGAAGAGGUUUGGGCUGAAGGUAUAUCUGAUUUCACUCAUUCAUUGCUAUCCGACACUCAACUUUGUAUUGUAAUUUGUUGCAACUGCUGUGCAUGUGUCCGAAGCAGUUUACAUUUUGUAUAAGCUUAGGUUUUUUA